CCUGGCGGCAAUAGCGCAGUGGAACCACCUGACCCCAUGCCGAACUCAGAAGUGAAACGCUGUAGCGCCGAUGGUAGUGUG
rnacentral:rRNA from 1 species